ACCCCCUGGCAGUGGGCAUGGAGACAACUGAUUGGUGGUGUUGCUCUUAUAUCAAUCAGUGGCAAAGCAGAUGUACAGUCCUUAGUUCAUCCUAGCUUGAUGCCUGUGUUGGUGGCCAGAACUGUUUCAUGCCUGAGGCACAUAA
rnacentral:snoRNA from 1 species